rnacentral:rRNA from 1 species
CUUAAGCAUAUCAAUAAGCGGAGGAAAAGAAACCAACAGGGAUUGCCUCAGUAACGGCGAGUGAAGCGGCAACAGCUCAAAUUUGAAAUCUGGCUUUCGGGUCCGAGUUGUAAUUUGUAGAGGAUGCUUUUGGCGCGGUGCCUUCCGAGUUCCCUGGAACGGGACGCCGUAGAGGGUGAGAGCCCCGUACGGUUGGCAACCAAGCCUCUGUAAAGCUCCUUCGACGAGUCGAGUAGUUUGGGAAUGCUGCUCUAAAUGGGAGGUAAAUUUCUUCUAAAGCUAAAUAUUGGCCAGAGACCGAUAGCGCACAAGUAGAGUGAUCGAAAGAUGAAAAGCACUUUGAAAAGAGGGUUAAACAGCACGUGAAAUUGUUGAAAGGGAAGCGUUUGCGACCAGACCUUUUCCUGGCGGAUCAUCCGGUGUUCUCACCGGUGCACUUCGCCAGGUCGAGGCCAGCAUCGGUUUCUACGGGGGGAUAAAAGCCUGGGGAACGUAGCUCCUCCGGGAGUGUUAUAGCCCCUCGCAUAAUACCCUCGCGGGGACCGAGGACCGCGCUUUGGCAAGGAUGCUGGCGUAAUGGUCGUCAACGACCCGUCUUGAAACACGGACCAAGGAGUCGAACAUUUGUGCGAGUGUUUGGGUGUUAAACCCUCACGCGUAAUGAAGGUGAACGUAGGUGAGAGCCCCCUCGCGGGGCGCAUCAUCGACCGAUCCUGAUGUCUUCGGAUGGAUUUGAGUAAGAGCAUAACUGUUCGGACCCGAAAGAUGGUGAACUAUGCGUGGAUAGGGUGAAGCCAGAGGAAACUCUGGUGGAGGCUCGCAGCGGUUCUGACGUGCAAAUCGAUCGUCAAAUCUGCGCAUGGGGGCGAAAGACUUAUCGAACCAUCUA